AGAGUUGGCUGAGCAGUCGCUGUUUUUAUCGUUAAGAUAAAAUGGAGGAAAGUCCGGGCUCCAUUGGGCAGAGUGCCAGGUAACGCCUGGGAGGUGUGAGCCUACGGAAAGUGCCGCAGAAAAUAAACCGCCUAUCAGAAAUGAUGGGUAAGGGUGAAAAGGUGCGGUAAGAGCGCACCGCGCAACUGGUAACAGGGGUGGCAUGGUAAACCCCACUCGGAGCAAGAUCAAAUAGAGGAACAUACGCGUGGCCCGCGCGGUUCCUGGGUAGAUUGCUUGAGCUAUAAGGUGACUUUUAGCCUAGAUGAAUGGCUGUUCUCGACAGAACCCGGCUUACAGGCCGACUCUUUCU
rnacentral:RNase_P_RNA from 3 species